rnacentral:rRNA from 1 species
UGGGGAAUUUUGCACAAUGGGGGAAACCCUGAUGCAGCGACGCCGCGUGAUUUAGAAGGCCUUCGGGUUGUAAAAAUCUUUUCUAUGGGAAGAAAAUGACAGUACCAUAGGAAUAAGGACCGGCUAAUUACGUGCCAGCAGCCGCGGUAAUACGUAAGGUCCGAGCGUUGUCCGGAAUCAUUGGGCGUAAAGGGUACGUAGGCGGGUAAGCAAGUUAGAAGUGAAAUCCCAUAGCUCAACUAUAGUAAGCUUUUAAAACUGCUCAUCUUGAGGUAUGGAAGGGGAAGUGGAAUUCCUAGUGUAGCGGUGAAAUGCGCAGAUAUUAGGAGGAAUACCGGUGGCGAAGGCGACUUUCUGGCCAUAACCUGACGCUGAGGUACGAAAGCGUGGGUAGCAAACAGG